rnacentral:rRNA from 1 species
CUACGGGAGGCACCAGUGAGGAAUAUUGGUCAAUGGGCGAAAGCCUGAACCAGCCAUGCCGCGUGAAGGAUGACGGCCCUAUGGGUUGUAAACUUCUUUUAUACGGGAAGAAACACCUCUACGUGUAGAGGUUUGACGGUACCGUACGAAUAAGCAUCGGCUAACUCCGUGCCAGCAGCCGCGGUAAUACGGAGGAUGCAAGCGUUAUCCGGAUUUAUUGGGUUUAAAGGGUACGUAGGCGGAAACUUAAGUCAGUAGUGAAAUCCCGCAGCUUAACUGUGGAACUGUUAUUGAUACUGGGUUUCUUGAAUAUUGUUGAGGUAGGCGGAAUAAGUAAUGUAGCGGUGAAAUGCUUAGAUAUUACUUAGAACACCGAUUGCGAAGGCAGCUUACUAAGCAAUUAUUGACGCUGAGGUACGAAAGCGUGGGGAGCGAACAGGAUUAGAUACCCGGGUAGUC